ensembl:lncRNA
AGAAUGGCUCUUAGCACGUUGUAAAUCGGCUUAUUUGAUGACAUUUAUGAAGUAAAUCUGUGUCAUCGGAUUUUGAAAGAAAAAGGUGAUUGAAUUUCUAGCACUGAUUAUUUAUGCAUUGAAAUCAUGUAUCUGAAUGUUUUUCAACGUUAAAAUAUUCAACCGCAAAAAAUUCAACCACAAAAAAUUCAAAUGAUGUUGCGGUUUGAAUUUUUUUGCAUUGCAUUUUUUUCCAUUUGUUCUUUUGAGUUGUAUCUUAUAUUUGUGUUAAUUAUACAUGGUUUAUGCUCCCAUUGUCAGAUGUGACUAUCAAUGCACCAGAUGAACAGUCCAUCAUGACGUAUGUGUCACAGUUCCUAGAGCACUUCCCUGGCAGAGAGGAGCCGGAGGAGCCCGUCCCGCCGAUCGAACGGAGUGUCUCCAUGGGCCGACUCAACUUGCGCGAGAAGGACUCCAACCACAUAAGGAAUAGUAUCCAGCAAAGCCGAGUGAAGGAGAGGUCCCACAUGUUUCAAAGGGUCUGUACCCAAUCGCCACCCAGAAUCCUGAUUUCCUCAGUGUCAGAGGACCGGAGUGCCAUGUCCCCCCCCUUCCGGCCAGCUGCAGCUCGCUCGUGGUCCAGUGAAGAUAUCUUAGCGGAUUCCCCCCACAUGGAAGAAAUCUCAAGCAGUGUGGCCGAAAAGCCCCAAGAAUCUGCCAGUGACGUCUCGACCAACUCAACCUCGAAGUCCCCAGAAUUGUCUUACGCUCACUCACCCACAGGCUCAUCGCUGCCUGAGUCCGUCACCUCCGAGCCGAUGAUUGGCGACUCAGCAAUAAGCUCACCGGACUCGUGGGUGGAGAGCGAGUUGGGGGGGGAUGCAGGAGAGGCUUUGUGAGAGUGACAGUUCUUUGUGUGACAGUGGAACAGCCUGGGAUGUGUAUCGUGCCACUCCUGUGGAGGUCACUAAUCUGGAUGAAGGAUGCGUCCUAUCCAUGGAGGAAAGGGCACCCGAGGAGGAGUCCAUUCCAGAGUCGUACGUGGACGAAGGCAUUUGCUCACUGGGCUCAUUGGAGAGCCCCGUGCAGAAAAGUCAAGGGGAUUUUGAGAAGAAGCAGCCGGAAGUAGUGGAAGAGAAAGAGGAGGUGCACCUUGAGAAGUACAACCAGGACAUGCCUGUGGAAAAGGUACCCGAUCAUUGCAAGGCUGAGAUUGCAGAAGAAGAACCGAGUGAACAGACGAUACAGGAUACCAGUCAGAGCAGGGAGCCGGAGCCUUCUGUAGGACUCUGCAACGCAGUGGAACUGACCAGCUCAGCUGUGGAAAAGCUCCAUGAAAGUGAUCAUUCUAACCAGUCGCAACCCAAGAAAAACAACGUUGGAGACAGGCCUGUGGACCUCAUUGAGGGUGCAAGGGAUCACGAAGGACAAAUUGUAGGUCUGAAUGAGAGCGGUAACUCUGAGGAACUUCAAGGGGAAACUGAAUGUCAGGAAAGACAAGAAAAUACAAUGAUUGAUGAUGUUGGAGAAACACGAGAGGAAGCAAGUGAAGAAGUUCUAAGAGAAGACCUGAAUGCACAAGAGAACUUUAGUUCGGAGACAUUAGCAAACACGGAUCCAACCAGCCAAGACAGAGCUCCAGAAACAAGUCUGGACCCAACCGCUGGCAGAAAUGUUCCUCUGAUCUCGAUUUCAAGUGAGCCAGAAGAGCAGAACCUAGAGGGAAUAUGUGACCCAGAAAGACAACAUCCUGCUUGGCAAGAUGAGGUACAGCCAGAAGGAACUGACCCAGAUGUCGACUGCCCCCCAAAUCCACAUGAAAACAACCUUGACUUCAAUUACAAUGUGGACAUUCCAUUGUGUCCGGUAACAGAAAGUGAUCAACCAAAAGCUUCAGAACAAACAGGGGACAGGGAAAGCCAACAUUUGGAUGAACAUGGAACCAGUCAGAACAUCGGCGAGCCCGACACAGGAGAUAAAAUGACAUUGAGUGAAUGUGAAUUAACUUGUCAGACUUCUUCAGAAGCCACACCGGUGAAUGCCGAGCAGGAAAUGGAUUCCACCGAUCAGCCGGAUGGACACAAGGACACAGCCGCCACCGAGCAGAACACACCCGAUUCUGUGAACUCAAAACCAAACGAGCCACCAGAUGCUGAGACGCAGAGUUGGCCUUCGGUUUUGAGUGUAUCCGCCCUCAAGCCAGCUCCUGCUUCGGAGACUCAAGCCGAUCAGCCCUCCAGCCUGCUGGGUGAAGACUUCAGCCAUGGAGCGGAUUGGACCCAAGAGAACGACGAGCUGAUCCCGAAGACCAACCAGGACACUGACGCGGCAUCUAAACCCCAGGGAAAACACAGAGCCUGUGAGGUAGGCUUUCUAUUCUUAGCCAGCUCCCGGGUACACUGGGAACACUGGGAAACACAGUGGGCCCGGGGGGGAGCAGUGUUAUGGCAAUGUGUGACCUGGCUCGGAUAUUUCCUUAAAUGUACUGAACUACGUGAUCUAUGCGGGCCGGUGAUGGGAAAGAAGCCGGGCCUUAUGAGGGUUGAGGGACUGCCCACUGGAGCAAGGGAAAGACAUGAAUCAAUAGCGUGUGAUUCCAUCCAUGUUCAUCAGUGGAAUCAAAGUUCUGAUCCCAUAGCCAAACGUACAGAUAAACAGUGA